rnacentral:rRNA from 1 species
GACAGAGGGUGCAAACGUUGUUCGGAUUUACUGGGCGUAAAGCGCGUGUAGGCGGCUUGGCAAGUCGGAUGUGAAAGCCCACGGCUCAACCGUGGAAGCGCAUCCGAAACUGCUUCGCUCGAGUCUCGGAGAGGAAGGUGGAAUGCUUGGUGUAGAGGUGAAAUUCGUAGAUAUCAAGCAGAACACCUGCGGCGAAGGCGGCCUUCUGGACGAGGACUGACGCUGAGACGCGAAAGCGUGGGGAGCAAACAGG